UACAGAGGUCUCAACCGUUGUUCGGAUUCAUUGGGCGUAAAGGGUGCGUAGGCGGUCGUGCAAGUCGGAUGUGAAAUCUCAGGGCUCAACUCUGAAACUGCAUUCGAUACUGCGCGGCUAGAGUGCUGGAGGGGAGACUGGAAUUUACGGUGUAGCAGUGAAAUGCGUAGAUAUCGUAAGGAAGACCAGUGGCGAAGGCGAGUCUCUGGACAGCAACUGACGCUGAGGCACGAAGGCCAGGGGAGCAAACGGG
rnacentral:rRNA from 1 species